GCGGAUGUAGCCAAGUGGAUCAAGGCAGUGGAUUUUGAU
rnacentral:tRNA from 1 species